CAGGACGUGGUGCUGCGAACAUUCAUCUUGCCUCUGCCUGGUGAUCUGGAUCCCCCUGUUUCAGGCUCUCUGCAGCAGCCCUGACUUGAAUUGGCUGUGUGAUCUGAGGCUGUUCACUUAACCUCUCUGGUUAUCCAUAUCCUCAUCCAUAGAAUGGAGAUAAUCAUUCUCACCACCGAGGGGUGCUGUGAGGAUCGGGCAAGGCCACAAGAAGCAAAAUGCUCUAGAAUGGUGCCAGUAGCCAUAUGAGGAAUCAAAACUAUUUCAAAUUAAAAAUUCAGUUCCCAGUCUCACCAGCCACUUUUCAAGGGCUCCAUAGCUAAUAAGGUGAGUGGCUAAUGCAUUGAGCAGCCCAGAUAUAGGGAAUUUCCACCCUUAAAAAAAGUUACAUUAGAUAGUGCUGCUUUAGUCUUUGCUCUUUCCUAAUUUUUUCUUUUUCUUUUUUUUCUUUUUUUUUUUUUUUAGCAUUUGGGUCUUGCUCUGUUACCCAGGCUGGAGUGCAGUGGUGUGAUCAGACUUGAGCUGCAGCCUUCAGCUCCUAGGCUCAAGGAAUCCUCCCACCUCAGUCUCCUGAGUAGCUGGGACUACAGGUAGGCACCACCACAUCUAGCUGAUUAAUUUGUUGUUGUUGUUGUUUUGAGAUGUGGUCUUGAUUGGUUGCCAGUCCUGGUCUUGAACUCCUGGCCUCAAGCAAUCCUCCUGCCUUAGCCUCCCAAAGUGUUGGAUUACAGGUAUGAGCCACUAUGCUUGGUUCCUUUCCUAAUUUUAAGUAAGCUUUUGCAAAAUAUUGUCCCACAUCUUGGCCAUGGCUAUGAGUGCAGGUGGGUAUUACUGGACACUUUUAGCUCUGGAACUUGUAUUUACUUGCUGUACUCAUUAGCUAGGUUUUAAAAACUGUACUUUAGGGGCUCCUAGGGAUUAACUGUACUUUAGGGGCUGCAGGAACAAAAACAUGGAGGGGUGAGGGAAGCACAUCUCCUGGAAGUCAUUUGGACAAGAUUCCUUCUCACUUAAGACCACAACUAGAAGCAAGAAGUCAUUUGUGCUUGAAUAUUGACCUGGACUUACCAUCUGGAGUUCCUGUAUUUGUGAAGAUUUCUUCAAAAACUUGAUCCAAAUAUUAUUUCAGAGGAAGCAGUUAAUUUGAAACAUAGUAUAUUAGGUUUAGGAUUAACUCAACUAUUUUGUAUUUAUAUUCCCAGAAACAUUGUAUUCUUUUCCAUUGAAACAUACACACCACACCCACACCCACCCACACACAUACGUACUUUAUAGAAUACACUGUACCUGUCUAUUGCAGAGAGUUUUAUGGUGCAUCUAGCCAAAACCAAUAAAAUGUGG
rnacentral:lncRNA from 1 species